rnacentral:rRNA from 1 species
UACAGAGGUCUCAAGCGUUGUUCGGAUUCAUUGGGCGUAAAGGGUGCGUAGGUGGCGCUGUAAGUCGGGUGUGAAAUUUCGAGGCUUAACCUCGAAACUGCAUUCGAUACUGUGGUGCUUGAGGACUGGAGAGGAGACUGGAAUUCAUGGUGUAGCAGUGAAAUGCGUAGAGAUCAUGAGGAAGACCAGUGGCGAAGGCGGGUCUCUGGACAGUUCCUGACACUGAGGCACGAAGGCCAGGGGAGCAAACGGG